AACGGGGUUGUUGGACACGGAGCUCCUGUGCAUGGCAUCAGUCGUUGUGCCACACAGAAACAAGGGUACGACGACUGAUGGAAUAGCUGUUUGUCAUUCUGUCUGCCUUGUCGACAUAUCCCAUGUGCUUCUUGUAAUCCGCAACAGUUGCUGGUUUGAUGACAUUCCCAUGCUCAUCACAGAAAUUGCCUUCUGCUGGAGUAGAGUGCAUGUUUGUCAACAUACGAACGUCACGUUUAUCCUUCCAAACUAGUGCUGUCAUGUCCCCUCUCACCCUAACCCGAAUGUCACCUUUCUUCAAUCGAAGUUGUCUGUUACGAAAGUCUUGAGGCAAGCCCUUCCGAUUAGGUCUGAAUAUCCCACAGCAACUUAUUUUCUUCGUCAUUAGUUCGUCAAACAGGUCUGGUGAUGAAAAGAAAUUAUCCGUGUACAGUUUGUGGCCUACUCCCUCAACCCUUCUGCAGAGGUCCCUAAUCGUAGCAUGUGUCGCUGCCACAUCUUGAUCGCCACGUGUCCUGUUUUUCCCUAAGUAAACCUUCAUGUCAUAAGUAUACACAGAGUUUGUAGAUUUUGAUUCCGAAACGUUUGUGUUUCUUAGGAUUGUUCUGUAUGAAAACCACCCUCCCUUUGAAUUUGACAAGUAUUUCAUCAACAGACAAAUGUUCAGAAGGAUUAUAAUAUUUUUGAUAUGCGUCAUUUAGAGCAGGGGUUCUCAGUGGGGGCAAUAUGGCUCCCCAGUGGGCCAAGCUGUAUUUCUGUGGGGCCACAGACAAAAUUUGGAAAAAUGGAGGGCCAUGGAAACUGUUAAGUGGGCCACAAAAUUUUAACUUCUAAAAUAAAAUUAUUAAUAAUGUAAAAAGAAAUAAAAAUGCCAAAUGGUCAGUACAUAUAAUAACAUAAUAACUCAAUAUCCUUGUUUUUGUGUACCUUACUUAGAAGGGACAGAGCCUAUUGUAUUUAAACCACAACCUUAGAUCUGGGAAUUCCAAGUACCGGUAAACAGGUGCACGCCUUCUCAGAGCGGGUAGAGCCCUAACGAAUUAUCCUUUAUUUUCUUAAAUAUCUCCCCCUCCUCUCAUGAGUUUUACCGCCACCAUUUCAGUAAAUUUCAGGUGUUCUUCAGUUCAGUAUUCGAAGUGUUUGGAAGAAGACAUUUUUCUGUGCAAGUUCUAUUAUUGUGGCAGUUCCCUACUUUAAAGUGCCUACUGCUCCCCUUUGGAGAAAUAGGUUUGAGACAGAUAUCGUACGACCUUGUAACCAGUGAUGUGAUCUUAUGAUCGAGUGGACCAGUCUUCACUUAAUUUGGUGAGAACUUUAUGCUGCUCAAGGCCAGCAUGACUCAAAAUCUUCAAUUCUUCUCUGCUGAGUAGUCAACACCAUGGUAUGCACCAUUACUAUGGCUUAAUGCUGGGUUCUGGCAUGUUGCAUGUCAACAGACUGUGAAAAUGUGUACAUAGACUGGAUAAC